GCGGGUGUAGCUCAGGGGUAGAGCACAACCUUGCCAAGGUUGGGGUCGAGNAAAUCCCUUCGCCCGCUCCA
rnacentral:tRNA from 1 species